GACGAACGCUGGCGGCGUGCCUAACACAUGCAAGUCGAGCGGGGACUUGGGAGCUUGCUUCCAAGUUCUAGCGGCGGACGGGUGAGUAACGCGUGAGCAACCUGCCUCAAACAGGGGGAUAACGCAUCGAAAGAUGUGCUAAUACCGCGUAAGACCACAGUGCCACAUGGCACAGGGGUCAAAGGAGCAAUCCGGUUUGAGAUGGGCUCGCGUCCGAUUAGCUAGUUGGUGAGAUAACGGCCCACCAAGGCGACGAUCGGUAGCCGACCUGAGAGGAUGAACGGCCACAUUGGGACUGAGAUACGGCCCAG
rnacentral:rRNA from 1 species